rnacentral:rRNA from 1 species
CGCGUGGGAAUGUGCCCUUCUCUACGGAAUAGCCACUGGAAACGGUGAGUAAUACCGUAUACGCCCUCAGGGGGAAAGAUUUAUCGGAGAAGGAUCAGCCCGCGUUAGAUUAGGUAGUUGGUGGGGUAACGGCCUACCAAGCCUACGAUCUAUAGCUGGUUUUAGAGGAUGAUCAGCCACACUGGGACUGAGACACGGCCCAGACUCCUACGGGAGGCAGCAGUAGGGAAUCUUGGACAAUGGGGGCAACCCUGAUCCAGCCAUGCCGCGUGAGUGAAGAAGGCCCUAGGGUCGUAAAGC